rnacentral:rRNA from 1 species
CAGGACGAACGCUGGCGGCACGCUUAACACAUGCAAGUCGAACGGAGUUAUCGAGAGCUUGCUUUUGAUAACUUAGUGGCGGACGGGUGAGUAACACGUGAGCAAUCUGCCCUUAAGAGGGGGAUAGCAGUUGGAAACGACUGAUAAUACCGCAUAAGGUAGUAGUACCGCAUGGUACAGCUAUAAAAGAUUUAUCGCUUAAGGAUGAGCUCGCGUCUGAUUAGCUAGUUGGUGAGGUAACGGCUCACCAAGGCAACGAUCAGUAGCCGGACUGAGAGGUUGGACGGCCACAUUGGGACUGAGACACGGCCCAGACUCCUACGGGAGGCAGCAGUGGGGAAUAUUGCACAAUGGAGGAAACUCUGAUGCAAGCGAUGCCGCGUGAGGGAAGAAGGUUUUAGGAUUGUAAACCUCUGUUGACAGGGACGAUAAUGACGGUACCUGUUGAGGAAGCUCCGGCUAACUACGUGCCAGCAGCAGC